CCUCUUUCUUCUACAGGUCCUACGGCUAUGGAGUUGGCAGGUGUUGCAGUGGGGUUUCCGUCGUCCGUAUUCUGUCCAGGUCCGGGUAAUUCAGGUCAGUUUGCAAAAAUUUUAAAUAUCUUUUAAAUAAUUAUUUAUAUAUAUUUAUUUUUUUUUUACAUAUAUAUACGUAUAAAAAUACUGAGCUACUGGGUGCAAAUCUGCCGCAAAUUCUUCUAAAAAACUAGGCCUGAGCUCAACCCUAACGUCGCGCACGCUUAGCGGUAAUUUUUGGCCAGCGGUCUGGUCCGAUCCUAACCAAUGGUACUGUCAGUCCGUCUUGUCGUUCAGGGUCAAAAAUCUUUAUGGUCGAAACCUUUGGUAUACCUGCGCACCCCAGGAUUGGCAGUGCGGAGCCGAUGUUCCCAAAUGAAAGAUCCCACGUUGGAAGUCGGCAGAGGUGGCGUUGAAAUAUUUGUAUAACCUUUUUUUUUUUUUGGUGUUCAAUUUAUAUAAUUUAUAUUAUAUUGUUUGAUUUAAAUAAAGACUUUAAAAAUG